ACUACAGAUGUGAUAAAUUCAUUUGAGUAAUAAAAAAAAUGAAAAAAUGAAAAAAAAAUAAAUAAAAAAUAAAAAAUUUUGUUCACUAUUUGAAAUGACUGGAAUGCUAAUCAAAAAAGUGGAAGAUUGAAAGUUAAAGUCCUUCUUGAACUGCAAGAAAAUAAGAUCAACCUUGGAAAUUGUAGUGAAAUUUAUCAACAAAUGUAUAUUAAUCUCAGUUACCACCUUCUUUGCAUGAGUUAAAUAAAGAUGGGCUUAAAGACAUAUUUGGAAAUAUACUUUGAGUAUGAUGAUUAGAUUUAAAGAUCUGUAUCAUUCAUACACAUGUGAUUAUGUAAAAAUAUCAGCCAAAAUUUGCAGAAUAACAUAGGUAGAUAAGAUGCCUAUUUAUAAACCAUUGUAUAAUUUGUAUCAGUGUGAUUUAGGUUUUUCUAUCUACAGUUCAAACUUUUAUAUCCACUUGUUUGGAAAGAAGAUAUAAUUCUUUUAAUAGCAUCUCCAACUACAUAUUUGUUUGAAAAAGGUUUUGAUGUACCACUGCAGUUACUGCAAAGAUGAACAAGAGGUAAACUGCUAACGUGUAAAGGAGAUGUGACAUUCCUUUAAAUUUAGAACUAAAUUAGCAUAGGCAUUGACUUAGCAAGGAUCUUAGUUUUGUCAUACAAUUUUUAAAUAAAGUGCCGCUUAAAAUUUAGUUGUCUAGGAAAUCUGUGAUGUGAGCUCCCAGCAGGGAGAUGAGCAAAUUGUGAUCCAGGAAGAGAGGAGCUGAGAGCCUGGCGGUUGCUAAAUGGAUUGGAAGGCGCUUCAUUGAGGCCUGGGGAGGCUUCUUGCUUGUUGAGGGCUUCUGGCCCUCACGUGGGAAGGUCUGGUGCCCCUGGUCUGGGAAAAGAAGACCUGCAGACACUGCCCGCUGGAAAGAGCCGCUGCUGGGAGUGGGUAAGAAAGUUCCCUCCCCAUUCUGCCUCAGCCUGGACCGCUGGAGCAGGGUCGUUGGCUGCAGACCAUGUCACAGCUCAGACUCCCACAGCAGUAGCUUCUGAAGCUCUGCUCUCAUUGUCACCACCUGUGUCUGGCUUGGAGAGGCGGAAGGUUGACUAUGAAGGAGCUUUGAAGGGAUUCCUGCUCAGGCCGGCCAGUUGCCUUUCUUGGUGUCCGUCUGUUGUUGCCCAGCUAGAGACCACAAAAGCUUGACCUUCGGAACACCUGGGAUGUGAGUGACACUGAUUAAUCAGUGGUUUAAUCAACAGAGGCAGGUGUCUUACCUACCUACUUCAUCCCCUCACUACCUCUUAACCUGGGCUUCUCACCAGCUCAAAGUUUUCUCAUUACAGCCGAUGUGAUUUUGGAGUCUCCUUUAAGGUCCCGUUCCUCAAAGGUGGUCCAGAAAAUCGCACCACUUCCCAGCUUCCUGGAAAAACGGCUUUUGAAGGAUGUGCAGAAUGUGAAUGUGCCAAGCCUCUGAAGGCAGCAAUGUUUGGCUCCUUGCCUAAGACGAGAGGAAGAUGAGGAAUCAGCUAAUCCUGUAUUAAUGGGUGUUCUGGGACAGCUUUUACAGGUGCCCUGGAAGGGCUGAUGCAGCCCUUCCCUGAGGUGUUGGAUGAACAACAGUUUAGUCCUUUGACUCCAAGCAAGAGCAAAAGGAAGAAAAAUUAAUAAACCAGUCACUCUCUCCAAGAUGCUAUCCUGCCCCGCGAGUGAGCACUCCUUUUCCUGGAGUAUUGAGAAGAGAGGCAGGGUCCAGAGGAGGAUUCGGGGAUUCAAGAUACCAGGUGUGUCUUCUUCAGAGACAAGAAUUGACAUUGAGCAGUCAUUUCCUUAGGAAGAAGUAAAAGAGGGACAAGCUUUUCUAAAAAAUAUUUAUUUAAAACUUUUACAUAAUCAUUUGGUAAUUCAGAAUUGGUUUAGGCCUUUUGCAGACAUUUGAGAUGGAUGCCUUAACCCCAAACCUGUAGCAAUAGCUUAUUUGAUUGAUGGGAGCACUUGAGGGACCCCAUGAUAUAGAAGAAACAGAUGGCUAGAAAAGAGAGAGUGUGUUAGAGACAGGAGCUUUCCUGAAGGACUCAGUUGUAAUUUUGAAAUUAUCUGUCACAAACAUUCAGCAUCUUAACCAGACUAACAACAAUAGCCGCAGCUUAAUUUGCAUUUUACCAGUUGCAUAUCGAGAAAGCAUAGAAUUGAAAGUUCUGUAGACCUCAGAAUCUGACUUAAAUUAAUUUAAUCCCUUAUCUUAAUAACAAUUAAAAACUAGCAUCUACCCAGUGUAGUCUUAGCGUCACCCCAGCACCUGUCUCCUGAUGGAAUGCCGUCUCCCUUUGUGCUCGGUACUCAGGACCCAAAGGUCACCAGGAGUUCGUGUACCCAGAGAUGUGUAAAAGACUCAUGCCACACAGCCAACCGUGGCCCAAGUGCUCUGAGCAGAUCCGGCCUGAGCUGCAGGUGGCGAGGGGCAUGUUCUAUACCCUCCACUGCCUCAGAUGGUUUCCAGGGUGUUCCAAGUAGGGUAAGUGAUGUCUCCCAGUAAGACAAUUAAUUCCCUGAGGACAAGGCUCUCUCUCCAGCCUCCUUCGGAGCAGGGUCCUGCCAGGUGUGAGCACAGAGCAGGCCUUUAGUAAAGGAAGAGAGGAAUCCAGCAUGUACUAAGCACCUGUAACAUGCCAGGUAACCCUCACGACAGCCCUGUGAGGCAGGUUCAUCACCCAUUUUACAGAUGUGGAAACAGAGGCUCAGGAGAAUUUGCCCAUGGUGGUGUAGCUAGUAACAGGGAGCAUCAGUUUGAAACCCAGGGCUUCUCACUCCAGGGCUCUUCUGCCUAUGGAAGCCAAUGGUUUGGCACCAAUUGAGUACUCCAGCUCCACCACAGCUGGUGUGGAGCUCAGACACACUCAAGACCCUGGAGUGCGUGGGACUAACUUUGGGAGUCCAGAAGCCUGAUUCAGUCCAGUGUGGCCCCCCAUCAGAGGAGGGGACCUAGCACAAUGUUCCAGGGAGCGCGUAGACAGACAACAGCGGGCAGGCCUCUGCCUGGAGACUUGUGUUGCCCCCUUGCAGAGGGGCUGGAGGGCAUGGCCAUUUGGGACACAUGGUGUGAGGGUCAGCUCUGCUCUCCAAGGUCCUGACCUCUGAGAGUGACUUUAAUUCCUAGAGAACCACAUCCCACUCCCUGAGAGACUUCACAGAAGAAGGUCCACUAUGUUCAAAGAAAUUGGAUGAGGCUAUUUUAAGGUGGAAAAUGCUUAAAAGUAAUUUGAGAGGGGGGAAGACUAAAAACAGACGGCAGGACGAGGUAUAGGGCUGGCCAUCAAAAAGGAAGAUUGGCCAUGGUGUGUACAUGUAUAGGCUAGGCUUAGGCCAAGUGUGCCUGGGGAAAUCAAGUUUUUGGCAUGUGGCUUGCCUGGCAUCUGCCACAGGGCUGCACUUGCUGCCUCAGACAUGAGUAGGGCACUUCUUCCAAAGUAGCUUGAGCCUGUGAAUUCAGGUAGCUCUU